GAUGAACGCUGGCGGCGUGCCUAAUACAUGCAAGUCGAGCGAACAGACGAGGAGCUUGCUCCUCUGACGUUAGCGGCGGACGGGUGAGUAACACGUGGAUAACCUACCUAUAAGACUGGGAUAACUUCGGGAAACCGGAGCUAAUACCGGAUAAUAUAUUGAACCGCAUGGUUCAAUAGUAAAAGACGGUUUUGCUGUCACUUAUAGAUGGAUCCGCGCCGCAUUAGCUAGUUGGUAAGGUAACGGCUUACCAAGGCAACGAUGCGUAGCCGACCUGAGAGGGUGAUCGGCCACACUGGAACUGAGACACGGUCCAGACUCCUACGGGAGGCAGCAGUAGGGAAUCUUCCGCAAUGGGCGAAAGCCUGACGGAGCAACGCCGCGUGAGUGAUGAAGGUCUUCGGAUCGUAAAACUCUGUUAUUAGGGAAGAACAAAUGUGUAAGUAACUAUGCACGUCUUGACGGUACCUAAUCAGAGAGCCACGGCUAACUACGU
rnacentral:rRNA from 1 species